GGCUCAGGACGAACGCAGGCGGCGUGCAUAAUACAUGCAAGUUGAGCGCUGAAGGUUGGUACUCAUACCGACUGGUGAGCAGCGAACGGGUGAGUAACGCGUGGGGAAUCUGCCUUUGAGCGGGGGACAACAUUUGGAAACGAAUGCUAAUACCGCAUAAAAACUUUAAACCCAAGUUUUAAGUUUGAAAGAUGCAAGUGCAUCACUCAAAGAUGAUCCCGCGUUGUAUUAGGUAGUUGGUGAGGUAAAGGGUCACCAAGGCGGUGAUACAUAGCCGACCUGAGAGGGUGAUCGGCCACAAUGGGAAUGAGACCCGGCCCCAAAUCCUACGGGAGGCAGCCGUAGGGAAUUUUCGGCAAAGGAGGACAGUCUGACCGAGCAACCGCCGCCUGAGUGAAGAAGGUCUUCGGAUCGUAAAACUCUGUUGUAGAGAAGAAAGUUGAUGAGAGUGG
rnacentral:rRNA from 1 species